rnacentral:tRNA from 1 species
UGUUGGUGUAGCGGUCAGCACAACAGACUCUGACUCUGUAGACGUGGGUUCGAUUCCCUCACG